GGCCCAAAUUUGAAGUAGAGUAGAUUAGUAGGACUAGCUGAUACUACUAAUCUACUACUGUACUUCAAAUUUGGGCCC
rfam:Haemonchus placei strain MHpl1 genome assembly, scaffold: HPLM_scaffold0000071